rnacentral:rRNA from 1 species
AUGAAUGAGAUCAUGUUUUCUUUUGAGAAGGAAGGGGGUAAUAAUAGACCAAACCACUUCAUGCAAAGUUUCAGAGAUGUGGUAGCUGAAUGUAAUCUGUCGGACCAUGGUUUCAUCGGGGAUAAAUUCACAUGGCACCGAGCUCUUAGAGAACGUUUAGAUCGUGCGCUUGUAAAUGAAGGAUGGAAUGAAAUGUUUCCAGGAUCAGUCCUGGAGCAUCUUGACUAUUAUAAGUCGGAUCACAGGCCGAUCAUU